GAUGAACGCUGGCGGCGUGCCUAAUACAUGCAAGUCGAGCGAACAGACGAGGAGCUUGCUCCUCUGACGUUAGCGGCGGACGGGUGAGUAACACGUGGAUAACCUACCUAUAAGACUGGGAUAACUUCGGGAAACCGGAGCUAAUACCGGAUAAUAUUUUGAACCGCAUGGUUCAAUAGUGAAAGACGGUUUUGCUGUCACUUAUAGAUGGAUCCGCGCUGCAUUAGCUAGUUGGUAAGGUAACGGCUUACCAAGGCAACGAUGCGUAGCCGACCUGAGAGGGUGAUCGGCCACACUGGAACUGAGACACGGUCCAGACUCCUACGGGAGGCAGCAGUAGGGAAUCUUCCGCAAUAGGCGAAAGCCUGACGGAGCAACGCCGCGUGAGUGAUGAAGGUCUUCGGACCGUAAAACUCUGUUAUUAGGGAAGAACAAAUGUGUAAGUAACUGUGCACGUCUUGACGGUACCUAAUCAGAAAGCCACGGCUAACUACGUG
rnacentral:rRNA from 1 species